rnacentral:SRP_RNA from 1 species
CCGUGCUAGGCGGGGAGCUAGCGGUGCCCUGUUGCCUACAAUCCGCUACAGUAGGGCUGAAUGGUGUAGGCGGCAUUUUAUGUGGAAAGCAGGAAUUUGCAAGGGAUGUUGAUAUCAAGGUCUUGUGCAACGUUACUCUGCGAACCGUGUCAGGGUGGGAACACAGCAGCACUAAACAGCAUGCGCGUGUGCCACGAGGUAGCUUUGAAGUAGUUACCUGCAAAGAUAC